rnacentral:lncRNA from 1 species
ACGGAACGGACUGGCGGAACCGGAAAAGCGGAAACGGAAUAGAGGGUAAAACGCGGAAAAGAGGGCAAAACGCGGAAAAGAGGGUAAAACGCGGAAAAGAGGGUAAAACGCGGAAAAGAGGGUAAAACGCGGAAAAGAGGGUAAAACGCGGAAAAGAGGGUAAAACGCGGAAAAAAGUUUUAGAAUAGUUUUUUCUUUACGAGGUAGG